rnacentral:tRNA from 1 species
AAUUUUAUAGUUAAAAGAUAACAUUAGAUUGCAAAUCUAAAAUUAUAAAUUAACUAAAUUUGUUAAAAUUU